rnacentral:rRNA from 1 species
AGUGAACGCUGGCGGUAGGCCUAACACAUGCAAGUCGAACGGCAGCACAGUAAGAGCUUGCUCUUACGGGUGGCGAGUGGCGGACGGGUGAGGAAUACAUCGGAAUCUACUUUUUCGUGGGGGAUAACGUAGGGAAACUUACGCUAAUACCGCAUACGACCUACGGGUGAAAGCAGGGGAUCUUCGGACCUUGCGCGAUUGAAUGAGCCGAUGUCGGAUUAGCUAGUUGGCGGGGUAAAGGCCCACCAAGGCGACGAUCCGUAGCUGGUCUGAGGGGAUGUUCAGCCACACUGGAACUGAGACACGGUCUAGACUCCUACGGGAGGCAGCAGUGGGGAAUAUUGGACAAUGGGCGCAAGCCUGAUCCAGCCAUACCGCGUGGGUGAAGAAGGCCUUCGGGUUGUAAAGCCCUUUUGUUGGGAAAGAAAAGCAGCAGGUUAAUACCCCGCUGUUCUGACGGUACCCAAAGAAUAAGCACCGGCUAACUUCGUG